rnacentral:rRNA from 1 species
CCUACGGUGUGCAGCAGUGGGGAAUAUUGGACAAUGGGCGAAAGCCUGAUCCAGCCAUGCCGCUUGUGUGAAGAAGGCCUUCGGGUUGUAAAGCACUUUCAGUGGGGAAGAAAGCCUUGGGGCUAAUACCCUCGAGGAAGGACAUCACCCACAGAAGAAGCACCGGCUAACUCCGUGCCAGCAGCCGCGGUAAUACGGAGGGUGCGAGCGUUAAUCGGAAUUACUGGGCGUAAAGCGCGCGUAGGCGGUCUGAUAAGCCGGUUGUGAAAGCCCCGGGCUCAACCUGGGAACGGCAUCCGGAACUGUCAGGCUAGAGUGCAGGAGAGGAAGGUAGAAUUCCCGGUGUAGCGGUGAAAUGCGUAGAGAUCGGGAGGAAUACCAGUGGCGAAGGCGGCCUUCUGGACUGACACUGACGCUGAGGUGCGAAAGCGUGGGUAGCAAACAGGAUUAGAUACCCUGGUAGUC